AGGCAGGGACUGGCAGCGUGCUCCUGCUGCUGUACUGCUACCACACAGCGCUUCACCGAGUGGCUGCAGAGGCGUAGCAGGCAAGCAGCAGGAGAGUAGGAUGCCACAUGGAGAGGAGGAGGAAAAGAGAGAGGUGGAGGAGUAGGCAGAAGGGAGAUUCGGUAUAACAUGGCAUGCCAGGCCUCCACUGCUGCUUCCCUCCCUCAGGCCUGCUCAUCAUGAAUUUAAUUUGCGCAUGGGAUCUGAAUUUUCCCAGGGAUCUGCUGGAGGGUAUGGCCUGUGGACCUGUACAUCUUGGUGGUCUGUGGCAGAGCAAAUCUCAACUUGAUCAAAUCAGCAGCAGAGCCUCAAGAAUUACGUGGGCACGUAAUGACCACUGAUUUCGGUAAGAGUGAAACUGGUGCUAACGAGUGCUGGUUCCCAGAGCUCAGCUCAUUGCAUCAAGCAGCGAUGGCACUUGCUUUCUAAAGACACAAACAAUCCUUGGACUGGAUUCGGUAGGGAACACGUGCCAGCUCUUUUUGAAACAGCCUCCCCAGCAACAGCAGAUUUUGCCCAUCUUCCUUCCAUUUAUUUUGUUUUUGUAAAUAACGACGACGACCCCAGAGCUGUGUGGAUGUCCAGGCGGCACCUUACUGGCAUCCUCAGCAGACGGGGUGCUGUCAGUUUGUGCUCUGCGUGCCAGUGAGGUGUGCUCCCCUCCACCUGUGACUGUGGGAAGAAACAGGAACAUACCUGUAGACUGAAGAAAGAAAAGGGGACCCAAUCCUGCAUUUUGUAAGAUUAUCUUAUUAAAAGUAAUUUU
ensembl:lncRNA